rnacentral:rRNA from 1 species
CCUACGGGAGGCAGCAGUAGGGAAUAUUGCUCAAUGGGGGAAACCCUGAAGCAGCAACGUCGCGUGGAGGAUGAAGGUUCUAGGAUUGUUAACCCCUUUUGUUAGAGAAGAUAAUGACGGUACCUAACGAAUAAGCACCGGCUAACUCCGUGCCAGCAGCCGCGGUAAUACGGAGGGUGCAAGCGUUACUCGGAAUCACUGGGCGUAAAGAGCGCGUAGGCGGGAUAGCAAGUCAGAUGUGAAAGCCUUUGGCUUAACCAUAGAACUGCAUUUGAAACUGUUAUUCUAGAGUAUGGGAGAGGUAGGUGGAAUGCUUGGUGUAGGGGUAAAAUCCGUAGAGAUCAAGAAGAAUACUCAUUGCGAAGGCAGCCUGCUAGAACAUGACUGACGCUGAUGCGCGAAAGCGUGGGGAGCAAACAGGAUUAGAUACCCCGGUAGUC